UGAUCGCUACUGGAGGCCUGCCGUGGAGGAGACGGCCCCUGACAAAGCUAUCGGUUCGGAGAAAACUAACGAUUUUCCAGUAGAGGAGGAGGGGGAUAAAGUCAAGACUCAGUGAUGGAAAAUGAUUUGAUGACGGCUGCUCUCGAAAGUCACUGACAGAAGCACGCCUGAUGUUUGUUUUUCUGAACUGAUCAUGAUCUAAACUAAAACUUAAUUGAUGUGAUGUUGACAUGUUUUAAUAUUUUUUCAAUCUUAA